UAGAGGAGCAAUGGGGAACAAGUGUAAACACAGUCAAAUCACACCCAAAACCUCUAAUUCAAUCCUCUUCUUGACUCCAUUAUUCACAAUAUUUUUUUCAUUUUUCUCAUUUUUCUGUAUAUUUUUUUUCUUGUUUUUUUUCCAUCUUGUCUCUUUUCUUUUCUCUCUAUUCAGAACACAACUCUAAGAGACAAGAUACACAACAUAUGUACAAAAACAAUACAAGAAGAGGAACCAACUAGCCAAUUUGUC
rnacentral:lncRNA from 1 species